ensembl:lncRNA FMR1-AS1 FMR1 antisense RNA 1
CUCUUCAAGUGGCCUGGGAGCGCGCGCAUGCGCGCUGCUGGGAACCGGCCGGGGUGCCGGGUCGAAAGACAGACGCGCGGGCCGGGCGUGCGCGGGCUUGGUGGAGGGCGGGAAGGCUGAAGGGCGGUGACAGGUCGCACUGCCUCGCGAGGGCCAGAACGCCCAUUUCUGCAGAGGUGCACUCAGUGGCGUGGGAAAUCAAAUGCAUCCGGUUAUCCCAGUUCGGCCUCUCUGGGAUUCCGCGGGAGGGGGUGUCUGGUCUGGUUUGGUUUGGUUUGGUUUGGUUUGGUUUGGUCCGGUUCAAAGUAGCGCAGUCUGACUGAGCGGGAGGUGGAGUGGAAGGCGAGAAUAGGGGUGAAGGAUUAGACAGAAGAAGACUUUGAACUAGGAACAGUGGCAACCAGGGUGACCCAGGCUUUUGUGACCCGUAGAGGCAGAAGGUGAGGCGUCUACGCCCUCUCUCACCAGAUUUUGGGCGGCCCUGUGGAGACACCCUGUGCCCUUUAAGGGACAUGGAUUGAGUCGGGAUCUCAAAAUGUGAGCCUUUCCUCAGACCCAGCUUUGACCCACGUACUCGCCUUUCCUCAACUCAUUUUCAUACUUUCACUUGACUAUAUAUUUUUUAAAAAUUGUGUUAAGCACUUGAGGUUCAUUUCUGCCCCUACUGUAUGUGCACCCUGUGCCAGAGGGUGGGGUGAACACGUGUGUAGCAGUCAUGCGUCCUGUCCACAGGGGCCGAUGCACCUCCUUGCAACCCUUUACAUUCCACUGUGAAACAAACCUCAACUUUUUCUUAUUCCUGUUUUUACACCGUGCUUAUAGCUGCCUUAAUCCAUGUUCCCUUCGGGAUGCUGGUAUCCAACUGAGAAGUUGACGGAGCAUCUAUCGUGUGCCAGACACUGUGCUAAGUGCUAACGAGAAAUCGGUGAGCAAAACAGAAAAGAAAAAAAAAGAAGAAACGACUGCCAGCAUUGAACUUAGUACCUAGCAAAGUAGGUGGACAUAAAUCAAAUUGUCAGACAAGUAAAUGAGUAGUUGCAGCUGUGAUAAGGGGUAUGAAGAAUAGGCGCUUCCAUGAUGGCGGAACAUGACCUAGUCUGGGGUGGAGAAGGGGAGAUGAUUCCAGCUGGAAUAUGGCAGGUGAGAGUUAACUAAUAGCACUGAGUUGGCAGAGGCAGGAUGACCUGCCCCAGGCAGGUGCCCCAGAAUGAGAGGAUGUUGCUGCUGGUGGAACUCCAGCUUUAAAGCGGUGGAUCUAGGGCCACAUUCCUCAAGGCCAUAGCAAACAGGAAAGACCUUUUGGACUAGGGUCUUUGGAGUAGUCACAUGAGGCCAAGAACCCAAUAGGGCUGAAAGAGAAUCUCAUCAUAGGCUGAAUGGGAGCAGAGCAUUAGCUGCAACUCCAAUGUAUUAUAGUAAAAGGGGACACAUUGAUUAGAAUGAUUAUACCCCUCCAAGUGUAAGCUGUUGUUCAAUUUACCCAGGGCUUAAAAAUAUGUCAACUCUUCACAACCAUUUUUACUACAAGCCACACUCAACCUGUGUUGUUCCCUGAACCUGUGAUGCACUUUCAUCCGUUCAUGUCUCUACACAUCCUUCCUGGGCCCCAUAGAGGCCCUGCACCUUAAGGUUUUCAGCUGGAUUCCUAUUAGCUAGUUAUUUUAUCUCAGGUACAGAGAGUUAACUUUGCUCCUCAAUUUUCAGCACAUUGUCAUAUCAGUCCCUACAGGGUCCUUGUUUACAUUAUUUUAUAGUGUUUAUAUUAUUUUUUCCUCAUCUUUCUCGAUCCCCACUCUCAUUCUUCUAGACACAAGCUGCAAUAUGUUCGAUAGAGAUCCUUGAUAAUUUAACACAGAUAAUGUUUUGUUUAUGCCUCUUGCAUUUACAGAGAUGGUAUUGGACUGUAAAUCUCUAUUUCCCACUGUUUUACUCAACAGUCUGUUUUUGAGCUAUACCCACAUUGCUGUGUGUACACCUAGUUUGCUACCGAGUAUGCCAGAAAUUUUAUUCAUACAUAUCCCUACUGAUCGGGCAUCUAGGUUACUGCCAACUCCCUGAAGUCAUACUGUGGUGAAAACCCUUGUGAAUGUCUUUACAAACCUUUGCCAGAACUUAUUUUGUGCUCUUGUAGAACUUUGUGCAUACCCUCUGCUUCCUCAUUACACUGCUUGGCAUAUAGCAGAGACUCAACAAAUGUUGAAUACCUCUACUAUGAUGGUUAGUGUACUAGAAUAAUUUAUUUAUAUUUCUGUUUUCCUUAUUGGAUUAUUAGUACCUUCCAGACAGGGCAAAUGUCUUUUCUAUCUUUGUGUCCCUGGCACAUUAAAAGUGGUUGAUUUCAAGGUAUGUUCAAUGAAUGAAUAAAUACUUAUCUUCACUGCCAGUAC